UGAAUAUAUAACCUUCAUUUGUUUUUUAUCUACUGUUUAACUUAAUAUUUCUUCUUCCCAUUCAUUACUUAUUUAAUGUACCCCAUCAGUCCUAUUUAUAUUUGUUUUAAGGCUGGUAACAAUUGAUGUUAGGGGAUUAGCUGGGAGCUAGGUAGGUCUGUACACACAGAUUGCCUUAUAUGUGAACGCUCUUGUAGGACGUUCAGAUUGCUGCUGUGCAUAUGAUCAAUAAAGUAAUUUUGCGUUCCAGCAUGGUCGCGCGUGCGUCAUAAUGUACAUGCGCGAUCACGGAAGUGGCUGGACAGACCGGCAGAUUUAAAGGACCACUAUAGUCCGGCUCUGGGGAGAGGAAAGGGGUAAAAACUUACCUUUUUCCAGCGCUCGGCGGUGAGCUCUCCUCCUCCGAUCCUCCUCCUCUCCGCCCAUUCGGCUGAAUGCGCACGCGCGGCAAGAGCUGCGCGUGCAUUCACCCGGUCGCAUAGGAAAGCAUUUACAAUGCUUUCCUAUGGAUGCUUGCGUCUUCUCACUGUAAAAAUCACAGUGAGAAGCACGCAAGCGCCUUUAGUGGCUGUCAAUGAGACAGCCGCUAGACGAUUUGGGGGAAGGCUUAACCCAUUCAUAAACAUAGCAGUUUCUCUGAAACUGCUAUGUUUAUAAAAGAAUGGGUUAACCCUAUCUGGACCUGGCACCCAGACCACUUCAUUAAGCUGAAGUGGUCUGGGUGCCUAGAGUGGUCCUUUAAAAAGGAGAGAAGAUGGGAAGAAAGAAGAAGCUCCUGAGGAAGUCGCACAGACGAAACGCGUUGAGCAUCAUGUGGACCCUGUAUUUUGGUAUCAGCAGUUUCUUUUUUACAUGUACUUUGGUUCUAUAGAUUGUUUGUGCAGUAUUUGAUUUUGCUGAGUAUUGUUAUCUAUAUUAGUGAUGGGUUUUAUGUCCUUUCACUUUGCUUGAUUUUUGCACUCUAGCACUUGCACUUUUUUAUUUAACAUAGUAUCAUGUUAUAUUGAGCUGCUAUAUCUAUGGGUCUUUAGCCUAUUGAGGCUUUUAUAUAUAUAUAUUUUUUAUACAUUGCACAUAUUUGGUGCUGAGACUGUUUAUAUAUUUCUCAAUAAACUUUGUUAUUUUUAUCUUAUUAUAUUAUUUUAUUAUUUCAUUCUUUUUUAAGCCUCAUUUAUCUUAUUGCCCAUUUGGUGAAUGUGGCCCUGUAACUUCUAUUUUUGGUAUUUUGUUAUUAAGGUUGGACUGACCUUUAUACAGAGGCUGGCCUGCACUUGGGUCUCAUUACCUUUUACCCAUCUUUAU